UCCCCGAGUGUUCACUUCCAUUCGAAUCACAGAAGAGAGAGGGGGAGAGAGAGAGAGAGAGAGAGAGAGAUGGUGCACGAAGAAGAAGCAGAGCUAAGCGAGGCCCAGAAGAAGGAGAUUGCGAAAUGGUUCCUCCUCAACUCUCCUCCUGGCGAAAUCCAAUACGUUUCCAAAGGAUUGGAAUUGCACAAGACCAUCCUCGGAGAGGCCUGAAUAGCUGCUGGAAAUUUCUCUAAAAUCAUUUCUUGGUUUUGGAAAGAUAUUGCUUCAACGCGAUAUUUACUUACAGAAAAAGUUGGAAAAAGAGAGAAGGAAAUGAGAAGGUUUAGGUGGGUGGCCAUUAUUUUGAGGAGGGGAAUGUGCAGCUAGAUGCUAACAUAUUUGCAUGGACAGGCAUCCUACUCAAACUUGGCAGAUACCACUUUCAAGGUACUGACCUUAAGUAGUAACUUAUCGCAAUUUCUUAGUGAUUUAA